rnacentral:lncRNA from 1 species
UUUUUCUGUAAGGAUUUUGGCUAAUGUUUUAUGUUUAAGGAAUGACUGUACUUGAAAAAACUAGAAAAUGUUCCGAAGGAUAAACGAGACAACUCGAAUAAAGAGAUAUACCAUGUCCCAGGGCCAAAGGAAUAAAUUUGUAGAGCUAUAAUUCUUCACAAAUUAAUGUAUUCAUUCAUGGCGAUCAGAAACAAGGACCUGACAGGUCUUUUUAAUGGAUGAUGACCAGUUGGAUAUUGAAAUCUUGUAGAAAUAAGGUGCCAGAAAAGGCAAGAAAAAUAUGCAAGAGCUAUUUUUAAUUGGGUCUUUAUUUUAUGAUAAAGGGAUUUGCUACGUCUUUUCAGGAAAUCACCUUACCCCUGUGGUUUGAAUGGAAAUUAAAGAGACACAUGUUGCCAUUUCACUUUCAAGUCUUUUAUAAAUGAACCUUUUUUUCCCCUUUAAGUGAAUUUCAGUUAACUUGGCGAUUCUCCUCCCUCUAAUUGAGGGAAAGGCCCCCUACUUUUCCCAUCACAGGGAGGGGGCGGAGCAUUCUCUGAGAAGCUUGGAAGUGAGCUGUGCCUGGCCAGUCUUGGGGGAGGGGCUGCAUUUCACGAGGCUGCAGCUGACAAGAAGCUUCAAGCCUAGGUUAAUAUCAAAGAUACACAUGACCUGGGGAAUCUGCGUGUGAUGCCAUUUGAGCCCCAGAAAGGCAGUGCGACCUCGGAAGUGCUGAGCAGGGAGAAGGCUGUGGUGGGCAAGCAGCUGGAGUGAGAAUCAAGACAACCAGAUCACAGGACCAGAGCCUUCACCAUCCACGUGACAUUGGGGAGACGCCUUCUGUCAUCCCCAUCACAGGGAGGGGGCGGAGCAUUCUCUGAGAAUCUUGGAAGUGAGCUGUGCCUGGCCAGUCUUGGGGGAGGAGCUGCAUUUCACCAGUCUGCAGCUGACAAGAAGCUUCAAGGUAAUGGCUGUGUGAAGGCUAGUUAUUUUCCAGGGACUUCUCAGGAUGCUAGAGUAAAGAUGAGGAAAAUAGGAAGGGUGGUCUUAGAGUGGUGGGAAGGGUGUGUGCUUUUGAGAGAAUUGCUGAUGUUUUGAAGGAAUUGAUCCUUUGGAAAUUUUUUAUCUCCCAAUGCUUUGUAAGUACACAGUAAGAGAAGGGGUGAUCAGAUUACAGCCUCUAUAUUAAGGCUUUUCUGUGCAGCAUGGCCGUUCAUGCUAACUUAUUGACUUGGCAUCCCAUGUUUAUAUUGUCAGACAUUCUGUUACUCUUUGACUUUUUAAGCAUUUAUUAAUUUACACACAAAAAAUGAUAGAUAAAAAUAUUUGACAGCUUGGGG